rnacentral:rRNA from 1 species
CCUACGGGUGGCUGCAGUAGGGAAUAUUGCUCAAUGGGGGAAACCCUGAAGCAGCAACGCCGCGUGGGGGAAGAAGGUUUUCGGAUUGUAAACUCCUUUUGGUAGAGACGAUACUGGCGGUAUCUAACGAAUAAGCACCGGCUAACUCAGUGCCAGCAGCCGCGGUAAUACGGGGGGGGCAAGCGUUAAUCGGAAUCACUGGGCGGAAAGGGCGCGUAGGCGGGUUAGCAAGCCAGAUGUGAAAUCCUAGGGCUUAACCACUGAACUGCAUUUGAAACUGUUAGUCUAGAGUAUGGGAGAGGUAGGUGGAAUUCUUGGUGUAGCGGUAAAAUGCGUAGAGAUUAAGAGGAAUACUCAUUGCGAAGGCGACCUGCUAGAACAUAACUGACGCUGAUGCGCGAAAGCGUGGGGAGCAAACAGGAUUAGAUACCCUAGUAGUC